rnacentral:rRNA from 1 species
UCUACGGGAGGCAGCAGUGAGGAAUAUUGGUCAAUGGGCGCGAGCCUGAACCAGCCAAGUCGCGUGAGGGAAGACGGUCCUAUGGAUUGUAAACCUCUUUUGUCGGGGAGCAAAAGACGCCACGCGUGGCGUUCCGAGAGUACCCGAAGAAAAAGCAUCGGCUAACUCCGUGCCAGCAGCUGCGGUAAUACGGAGGAUGCGAGCGUUAUCCGGUUUUAUGGGGUUUAAGGGGUGCGCAGGCGGAAGAUCAAGUCAGCGGUAAAAUUGAGGGGCUCAACCUCUGCGAGCCGUUGAAACUGGUUGUGUUGAGGGGGAGAGAAGUAUGCGGAAGGCGCGGUGGAGCGGGAAA